GCCGGCGCCGCGGUCUCCGGGCCGCGCGCUGGGGCGGGGCUGCGCGCGCAGAAGCAUGUGAUCACCAAACUGAGUAUAGAAUGGGGCGGAAUCAACAAUGAUACGAUUUUACAUUGUGGCAACAACUACGAGCCGUCCAGGUCAGGAACAGUGAGUCACAGAGAGAGAGAGAGGCAGAGACACAGGCAGAGGGAGAAGCAGGCUCCAUGCACCGGGAGCCCGACGUGGGACUCGAUCCGGUGUCUCCAGGAUCGCGCCCUGGGCCAAAGGCAGGCGCCAAACCGCUACGCCACCCAGGGAUCCCCCUUUCAAUGUCUUGCUCCCCAUUUCUCACCUCCAUCCUCCUCCUCUCCUGGGGCACACCCUCCUUCUCUUUGCCUUUUUCUUGCCCUAGGAUGGUUUCAGAUGGGGCCAUCCAUAGAGGUAGGGGCAGAGACCAAGGCAAACCUCAGUGUGAAGGUGGACAUAUCCAAUGGCUAAGGAAUUUCCUUCCUGAACUCUGCAGGCAGGGCAGCUGGUACAGCCCUAGGAUGGAUCAGCCCAGAGGAGAACGUGGGCUGAAAGAAGCUGCUGCCACAUAGGCUAGCUCUUUGUCACACCUCUCUCCAGACAACCAGCAUGUGACUAACCAUCUGCUCCAGUAUGAGGGCAGGGCACAGGACACACCGGCAGAAUGAUUUACUUUUUCGUUCAAUUUUAACACACAGACAAUAAGGUGCUUGAAGAAUACUCAUCUUCAGUGCAUAGCUCAAUAAAGUUGUAUAUUUGUGGAUACCUGUAUGACCACAUUUGAGCUCAAGAUAUAAAAUGUUUCCAGUAACCAGAAGUUUUCCUAUGCUCCUUCCCAAUCAAUAUCCAUUUUCCCUGAAUCCUCUCCACCCCACACACAUCAAGGCAAACAUGAUUUUGGCUUCUUUUAAAGUGAGGUGUUUUAUCUCUGGCUUCUUUGCUCAAAAUAAUGUUUGUCAGAUGCUUAUUAUUUGCUAAUAUUUUGAAAAUAUUGUUUCAUUAGCUUCUUAUUUUACUAAAAACGAGAUCAUCUUGUGCAUGCUGUUUGCCACUGGUUUUUCCAUUUAACAUUAGCAACAGUUUCCCUUGUCUUUAGCAUUCUUGUACUACAGAUUUUUCAAAGUUUGGAUUAUGUUCUCUAUUAUGUAUGUGCUGUAAUUUAUUUGACCAGCCCUCAAUUGUUCAACAUGAGAUAAUUUCCUUUUUAAAAAACUACCAAAAAAAGAAAACUACAGACAAUGAUUCAUUGAAUAUUCUUGCAAUUAAAUCUUUGUGCACAUACUUGAUUAUUCCUCUAGGUUAAACUAUAAGAAGUAGAAUCACCAGGUCAAAGGUUGUAUACACUUUUAAAGCUUUGUUAUCCAGAAAAGUUGUAUUAAUCUUCUUAUGAGAGUGUCUCUGUUUCCUCAAAUCUUGACCAUCACUGGACAUCAUAUUUUGAAUAUUUGCCAAUGUAAUAGGUAAAAUGUAUCUUUUUGAAAAAAAAUUAAAAAAAUUAAAAACA